AUUGAACGCUGGCGGCAGGCCUAACACAUGCAAGUCGAACGGUAACAGGAAGAAGCUUGCUUCUUUGCUGACGAGUGGCGGACGGGUGAGUAAUGUCUGGGAAACUGCCUGAUGGAGGGGGAUAACUACUGGAAACGGUAGCUAAUACCGCAUAACGUCGCAAGACCAAAGAGGGGGACCUUGGGGCCUCUUGCCAUCGGAUGUGCCCAGAUGGGAUUAGCUAGUAGGUGGGGUAACGGCUCACCUAGGCGACGAUCCCUAGCUGGUCUGAGAGGAUGACCAGCCACACUGGAACUGAGACACGGUCCAGACUCCUACGGGAGGCAGCAGUGGGGAAUAUUGCACAAUGGGCGCAAGCCUGAUGCAGCCAUGCCGCGUGUAUGAAGAAGGCCUUCGGGUUGUAAAGUACUUUCAGCGGGGAGGAAGGGAGUAAAGUUAAUACCUUUGCUCAUUGACGUUACCCGCAGAAGAAGUACCGGCUAACUCCGUGCCAGCAGCCGCAGUAA
rnacentral:rRNA from 1 species